ensembl:lncRNA
AGACGGAUACCGUGCCGGGGGCUGGAGGAGGAGGUGCCGGGGGGCCCGGAGCCGGGACAGCCAGCCAGGCUCUGUGCCCGCUCCCGCCCUCCUCACCCGCUCCUGCCGAGCGCCCAGGGUGUACCUCGCAGCCCCACCCGUCGCGGCCCCUCAGGGAGGUUCUGUAAUUACCGCCUGCUCCUUUCCAAACCUGGCUGCAAGUCUCUGCUCGGAGGGUUCUGAGAGGGUCUGACCCAGGCUUGGGGCUCGAAAAGCAGUUGCCUAGAGGAAAGGAGCGUUCCGUCGUAAAUCAGAUCGGCCAUGGGAGCUUCCUUGAGCCACAGAAACUCCUCCUACCAGGCUUUCUUCCGUAAUAUUGGUCAGUAAACCGGUAUGAAUCACUGCAUGUUAUCCUGAAGUUGCCUUAACCAGAAAUCCCAAACACACUGGACAAUAUUGUCAGGCUUCCGUGUCGCCGUCACUGGUUACCAGGCACACACAAUUUACUGGCAAACACAUGAGAUCUGCUGAAUGAGACCAAGCAAGCUAAAAUGAGACAACGAAUAGGAACCAAAGUGGGAGACCGACCCCAGGGAGCAGCUGAGCAGAUGCUCGUCCCUCCUAAGGUGGCGAUGUUUAUUCAGAGCGACGGGAGCAUCUCGGUGAGCUCGACCUGGGUGGAGUAAAACCUUUGCCCCCAGAUGGGGCUUUUCAACUGUCCUUUUGUUUGUUUGCUGAGUGUGUGCAAGAGUCUAGGGUUGAUGGAUGGCCAUUGAAAAGCACAGGAUUCUCAGCUCUCUGGCCCGGACGGCUUCCUUCCUAGCAGGGACGCUCAGCCGAGAGUGACCAUGGCCUCAGGGGAUAGUUCUGUCUUCACAGCUGGGCUGGGGUGCUGCUGCAUCUGGCAGGCAGAUGCCAGGGGAUCCUAGAUGCCCUCCAAGGAAGGGCCCCGGGCCCCUAUGGCCACCGGGCACAGUCUGCCCCAACAUGCGCGUGAUCACCCCACGUGCCGCUGGGGCUGACCCACAACCUCCUCACUUCCACAUCACCAAACAUCGUCACCUGUCGCUCAGGGAGCAGCCUGUGGGGGGCUGUCCUGGCUACUGUCCCCCCCACACCCCCCUGAAGGGCACCUGUGCCUGCCACCCUCAGGGCCUCCUGGCGACAGUCACCGCCUCGGGCUCUCUGCUCCCGGCGGCCGCACCAGGAGUCUGCAGACACUGCUUGCUGCCCUUCCUUCCUCCCCUCUGCAAUUUCAGAAUAAAAAGCCUUGAGUUCUCUGAGAG